ACAGAUCGUUCAGAGUUUGAUCCUGGCUCAGGACUGAACGCUGGCGGCGUGCCUAAUACAUGCAAGUCGAGCGAAUCUAAGGGAGCUUGCUCCCAAAGAUUAGCGGCGGACGGGUGAGUAACACGUGGGCAACCUACCUGUAAGACUGGGAUAACUUCGGGAAACCGGAAGCUAAUACCGGAUAACAUAUGAGACCACAUGGUCUCAUAUUAAAAGAUGGCUUCUCGCUAUCACUUACGGAUGGGCCCGCGGCGCAUUAGCUAGUUGGUGAGGUAACGGCUCACCAAGGCAACGAUGCGUAGCCGACCUGAGAGGGUGAUCGGCCACACUGGGACUGAGACACGGCCCAG
rnacentral:rRNA from 1 species